rnacentral:rRNA from 1 species
UCCAGAGGUCCCGAGCGUUGUUCGGAUUCAUUGGGCGUAAAGGGUGCGUAGGCGGCGGGGUUAGUUUGAUGUGAAAUCCCGGGGCUCAACCCUGGAAUUGCAUUGAAUACUACCUUGCUAGAGUACCGGAGAGGAAACUGGAAUUUACGGUGUAGCAGUGAAAUGCGUAGAGAUCGUAAGGAAGACCAGUGGCGAAGGCGAGUUUCUGGACGGUAACUGACGCUGAGGCACGAAGGCCAGGGGAGCAAACGGG